GGUUGAUCCUGCCAGUAGUCAUAUGCUUGUCUCAAAGAUUAAGCCAUGCAUGUCUCAGUAUAAGCUUCUAUGGUGAAACUGCGAAUGGCUCAUUAAAACAGUUAUAAUUUAUUUGAUGAUGGCUAUACUACGUGGAUAACUGUGGUAAUUCUAGAGCUAAUACAUGCACCAAGACCCAACUUUUUGGAAGGGUUGUGUUUAUUAGAUACAGAACCAACCCAGGUUCGCCUGGUUUUGUGGUGAUUCAUAAUAACUGAAUGAAUCGUAUGGCAUCCGCUGACGAUGAAUCAUU
rnacentral:rRNA from 1 species